rnacentral:rRNA from 1 species
UUGACCUCGGAUCAGGUAGGAAUACCCGCUGAACUUAAGCAUAUCAAUAAGCGGAGGAAAAGAAACCAACAGGGAUUGCCCUAGUAACGGCGAGUGAAGCGGCAACAGCUCAAAUUUGAAAUCUGGCUCUCGGGCCCGAGUUGUAAUUUGUAGAGGAUACUUUUGAUGCGGUGCCUUCCGAGUUCCCUGGAACGGGACGCCAUAGAGGGUGAGAGCCCCGUCUGGUUGGAUGCCAAAUCUCUGUAAAGUUCCUUCGACGAGUCGAGUAGUUUGGGAAUGCUGCUCUAAAUGGGAGGUAUAUGUCUUCUAAAGCUAAAUACCGGCCAGAGACCGAUAGCGCACAAGUAGAGUGAUCGAAAGAUGAAAAGCACUUUGAAAAGAGAGUUAAAAAGUACGUGAAAUUGUUGAAAGGGAAGCGUUUAUGACCAGACUUGGGCUUGGUUAAUCAUCUGGGGUUCUCCCCAGUGCACUUUUCCAGUCCAGGCCAGCAUCAGUUUUCCCCGGGGGAUAAAGACUUCGGGAAUGUGGCUCUCUUCGGGGAGUGUUAUAGCCCGUUGUGUAAUACCCUGGGGGGGACUGAGGUUCGCGCAUCUGCAAGGAUGCUGGCGUAAUGGUCAUCAACGACCCGUCU